rnacentral:lncRNA from 1 species
AGGAUGGAAUAGUAACUCUUAAGAGUGUUCUGCUCUAUCUCCGAGAGUUCCCCAGCAAGACAGAGCCCCAAUUGCUCAUCAUGGAACCCCAAGGAGCAUGAGGACAUCCUGAACAGAGGCCACCUCAGGAGAGCUGAAGGAGCAGGAGAGCAGCCCUGGUGCACCCUGCCCAGGCUCAACUCCUCCCGCAGAACUAAGCCAGGGCUGAGAAGUUCCUUGAAAGAGGCUGCUCUUUGGAAGCCUUGCACAUUUCUGAAGGCUGCCAAGAGAGUGUGUGGCUGAAACCAGAGUGAGGACCCAUGCUUCCUUGAGGUGGAGCCCAGGCACUUGGGCAAACAGCUGAUAGGAGUUCAUUUUGUGAAGCUGUCACGAGUUUUCCAGUAGACCAUGAGCUUGCUGAUGGCAGGAGCCUGCCUGUCCUUGAUCCUUGUUUCUGUGGGGUCUAUCCCAGUGCCUGGCACAGUGGCUUUGGAGAUGGAAGGAAUAGAGGGAGAGCAGAUCCUCAAACACAGCCUGCAUCUCUCCCUGCUCCCCUCCCACCCUCCAGUUUUCCAGCCAGAGGCAUUUGCUCUAAGGCCCAGGCUGUGGCCCACCUAUCACCGCUACCCAAGUAGUACAGGAAAAGGAAAUUUGAAGAGGAAAAGAGGCACCAGGGAUGAGGACACACCGAGAAAAGACCAUGUGAAGACAUGGCGAGAAGACAGCCAGCUGCAAGCCAAGGAGUGAGGCCUCAGAAGAAACCAACCCUGCCGACACCUUGACCUUGGACUUCUAGUCUCUAGAAUUAUGCGAAAAUAAAUUCCUGUUGUUUAAGCCA